CAUGCAAGUCGAACGAGAGAGAGGGAGCUUGCUUCCUCAAUCGAGUGGCGAACGGGUGAGUAACGCGUGAGGAACCUGCCUCAAAGAGGGGGACAACAGUUGGAAACGACUGCUAAUACCGCAUAAGCCCACAGGUCGGCAUCGACCAGAGGGAAAAGGAGCAAUCCGCUUUGAGAUGGCCUCGCGUCCGAUUAGCUAGUUGGUGAGGUAAUGGCCCACCAAGGCAACGAUCGGUAGCCGGACUGAGAGGUUGAACGGCCACAUUGGGACUGAGACACGGCCCAGACUCCUACGGGAGGCAGCAGUGGGGAAUAUUGCACAAUGGGGGAAACCCUGAUGCAGCGACGCCGCGUGGAGGAAGAAGGUCUUCGGAUUGUAAACUCCUGUUGUUGAGGAAGAUAAUGACGGUACUCAACAAGGAAGUGACGGCUAACUACGUGCCAGCAGCCGCGGUAAAACGUAGGUCACAAGCGUUGUCCGGAAUUACUGGGUGUAAAGGGAGCGCAGGCGGGAAGACAAGUUGGAAGUGAAAUCUAUGGGCUCAACCCAUAAACUGCUUUCAAAACUGUUUUUCUUGAGUAGUGCAGAGGUAGGCGGAAUUCCCGGUGUAGCGGUGGAAUGCGUAGAUAUCGGGAGGAACACCAGUGGCGAAGGCGGCCUACUGGGCACCAACUGACGCUGAGGCUCGAAAGUGUGGGUAGCAAACAGGAUUAGAUACCCUGGUAGUCCACACCGUAAACGAUGAUUACUAGGUGUUGGAGGAUUGACCCCUUCAGUGCCGCAGUUAACACAAUAAGUAAUCCACCUGGGGAGUACGACCGCAAGGUUGAAACUCAAAGGAA
rnacentral:rRNA from 1 species